rnacentral:rRNA from 1 species
AUGCGCAGAUACCGGAAGGAACGCCAAUAGCGAAGGCAGCUACCUGGACGACUUGUGACGCUGAGGCGCGAAAGCGUGGGGAGCAAACCGGAUUAGAUACCCGGGUAGUCCACGCCCUAAACCAUGAGUGCUGGGUGUCCGGCUUCUGCUGGGUGCCGUAGCUAACGCGCUAAGCACUCCGCCUGGGAAGUACGCACGCAAGUGUGAAACUCAAAGGAAUUGACGGGGGCCCGCACAAGCGGUGGAGCAUGUGGUUUAAUUCGAAGCGACGCGAAGAACCUUACCAGGCCUUGACAUGCCCGGAACCCCUCUGAAAGGAGGGGGUGCCCGCAAGGGAGCCGGGACACAGGUGCUGCAUGGCCGUCGUCAGCUCGUGUCGUGAGAUGUUGGGUUAAGUCCCGCAACGAGCGCAACCCCUAUCCCUAGUUGCCAGCAGUUCGGCUGGGCACUCUAUGGAGACUGCCUGCGAAAGCAGGAGGAAGGCGGGGAUGACGUCUGGUCCGCAUGGCCCUUACGGCCUGGGCGACACACGUGCUACAAUGCCAAGGACAGAGCGCUGCUACCUCGCGAGAGGACGCCAAUCGCAAAAACCUUGGCUCAGUUCGGAUUGGAGUCUGCAACUCGACUCCAUGA